rnacentral:lncRNA from 1 species
AAAUUAGCCAAGCCUUGUGGCAGGUGCCUCUAACCCCAGCUACUUGGUAGGCUGAGGCAGGAGAAUCACUUGAAUCCGGGAGGCGGAGGUGCCACUGCACUCGACCCUGGGUGACAGAGCGAGACUCCAUCUCAAAAAAAAAAAAAAAAGAAAAAAAGUACAAAAAUAAAUAAAGAAUAUAAGUGUAACCAUAUGCUUUCUGGCUUAUGUAUUGCUAGCUUAGGAAAAGGUAUGCUUUAGAGUUUCCUGCCCUGAAUUUCCCUGAAGAAACUUCAGGACUCCUUGAAAGCCUGUUCUGUGUGGGAGAACAGAACAGAGUUUACCCUUAAAGGUGUCAUGUGUGUGUGUCUUUUCUUCUUCCCUUGCAUGUCUCCUGCACAGAACAAGGCCAAGAGAUCCUUUUUCGACAUGUUUUACCUCCAAUUUUUGCUGUCACUCUGGCUGAAGUGCAGUGGCUUGAUCAUAGCUCACUGCAACCUCAAACUCCUGGCCUCAAGGGAUCCUCCCUGCUUCCGCCUCCCGAAUAACUGAGACUACAGAUUAUAUCUAAAUACACUCCCCUAGAUUU